CUAAUACAUGCAAGACGAACGAGAAAAUCCGACUUCGGUUGGAUGAGUAAAGUGGCGAACGGGUGAGUAACACGUGGGCAAUCUGCCCUUAAGUCGGGGAUAAGCUCGGGAAACUGGGUCUAAUACCGGAUGAUAUCUUCGAAUGGCAUCAUUUGAAGAUCAAAGGCGGGGUAACCUGCCGCUUGAGGAUGAGCCCGCGGUCCAUUAGCUUGUUGGUGGGGUAACGGCCUACCAAGGCGACGAUGGAUAGCCGGCCUGAGAGGGUGAACGGCCACACUGGGACUGAGAUACGGCCCAGACUCCUACGGGAGGCAGCAGUAGGGAACAUUGCGCAAUGGACGAAAGUCUGACGCAGCGACGCCGCGUGGGUGAUGAAGCUUUUUGGAGUGUAAAGCCCUGUCAGUGGGGAAGAACCGCAUGAGGAGUAACUGCCUCAUGCCUGACGGUACCCGCAGAGGAAGCUCCGGCUAACUCCGUGCCAGCAGCCGCGGUAAUACGGGGGGAGCGAGCGUUGUUCGGAUUCACUGGGCGUAAAGGGUGCGUAGGCGGUUAUAUUAGUCGGGUGUUAAAUCCUGGGGCUCAACCUCAGGCUCGCAUUCGAAACGGUAUAACUAGAAGAAGUCAGAGGUAAGCAGAACUCUCGGUGUAGGGGUGAAAUCCGUUGAUAUCGAGGGGAAUACCAAAUGCGAAGGCAGCUUACUGGGACUUUCUUGACGCUGAGGCACGAAAGCGUGGGUAGCGAACGGGAUUAGAUACCCCGGUAGUCCACGCCCUAAACGCUGUCUGUUGGCUUUGGGGGGAAUCGACCCCCUCCGAGGCGAAGUUAACACGUUAAACAGACCGCCUGGGUAGUACGAGCGCAAGCUUAAAACUCAAAGGAAUAGACGGGGGCUCGCACAAGCGGUGGAUCAUGAGGCUUAAUUCGUCGAUAAGCGAAAAACCUUACCGAGGCUAGAAACUAUACUGCACGCCCAGGGAAACUUGGGAAUCCUUCGAGGGUGUAUAGCAGGUGAUGCAUGGCCGUCGUCAGUUCGUGGCUUGAGCUGUUCCCUUAAGUGGGGAAACGAACGCAACCCUCGUUGCCUGUUACAAGUGUCAGGCGAGACUGCUCCCUCACGGGAGAGGAAGGUGAGGAUGACGCCAGGUCAGCAUGUCCCUUGAUGCCUCGGGCUGCACUCGUGAUACAAUGGGUACUACAACGGGACGCAAUACCGCAAGGUGGAGCAAAUCCUAAUAAAAGUAUCCUCAGUUCGGAUUGUGGGCUGCAACUCGCCCACAUGAAGUCGGAAUCGCUAGUAAUCGUGAAUCAGCACGUCACGGUGAAUACG
rnacentral:rRNA from 1 species